AGAGUUUGAUCCUGGCUCAGAACGAACGCUGGCGGCGUGGAUAAGACAUGCAAGUCGUGCGACAGACCAGGAAUUGAUUACUUUGGUUUGAUUUUCCUGACGAUGAGCGGCGAACGGGUGCGUAACACGUGAGAAAUCUGCCCUUAAGUUCGGGAUAGCCCUACGAAAGUAGAAUUAAUACCGGAUGUGGCCCAGGGAGGGCAUCUUCCCUUGGCUAAAGCUCGGUCACAGAGCGCUUUUGGAUGAUCUCGCGGUCUAUCAGCUUGUUGGUGAGGUAACGGCUCACCAAGGCUCUGACGGAUAGCUGGUCUGAGAGGAUGAUCAGUCACACUGGAACUGAGACACGGUCCAGACACCUACGGGUGGCAGCAGUCGAGAAUCAUUCACAAUGGGCGCAAGCCUGAUGGUGCGACGCCGCGUGGGGGAUGAAGGGCUUCGGUUCGUAAACCCCUGUCAUCUGUGAGUAAGGCUCCCAAUAAAAGCUUGGGAGAUUGAUAUCAGCAGAAGAGGAAGGGACGGCUAACUCAGUGCCAGCAGCCGCGGUAAUACUGAGGUCCCAAGCGUUGUUCGGAUUUACUGGGCGUAAAGGGUGCGUAGGCGGCUAUAAAAGUUUGGUGUGAAAUCUCCGGGCUCAACCCGGAAACUGCAUUGAAAACUAGAUGGCUAGAGGAUCGGAGAGGAGAUUGGAAUUCUCAGUGUAGCAGUGAAAUGCGUAGAUAUUGAGAGGAACACCAGUUGCGAAGGCGGAUCUCUGGACGGUUUCUGACGCUGAGGCACGAAAGCUGGGGUAGCGAAGAGGAUUAGAUACCCUCGUAGUCCCAGCCGUAAACGGUGCGCACUUGCUGUGGG
rnacentral:rRNA from 1 species